rnacentral:rRNA from 1 species
GACGAACGCUGGCGGCGUGCUUAAUACAUGCAAGUCGAACGGAAAGGCGCUGCGUUUGUUGCGUGCUCGAUAGCCGCACGGGUGAGUAACACGUGAGUAACCUGCCCUUGAAUUUCGGAUAACUUCUGGGGACUGCGGCUAAUACCGGAUAGAAUCUCCUGCUGCAUGGUGUGCGAUGGAGAGAUUCGGCGGUUGGGGCUGGACUCGCGGCUUAUGCGCUUGUUGGUGGGGUAGUUGAGUACCAAGGCUUUGAGGGCUAGCCGGCCUUAGAGCGUGACCGGGCACAAUAGGACUGAGGGACGGAGCAGACUGCUACGGGAGGCAGCAGGGGGGAACAUUGCGGAACGGGCCGAAGCCAGAUGCAGCAACGCUGCGUGCGUGAAGCUGGGCUAUGGGUUGUAAACCGCUGUCGAAUGUGACGAAGCGGGAUUGACGGUACUGGGUAAAGAAGCAACGGCUAACUACGUG